GGCGGGUCGUGACUUCGCCAUCCUGGGAAAAAAAAUUAGCGGAAGAGGACGGGCGGGCUCAGAUGGCUGUACCUGUGGCAUUUAGCCUGCGAGAGGCAGCUGCGCAAUCUGCAUUGACUAACCUCAAAUCACCUGCUUCUGUCAUAUUCUCCUGUUAGGUGGAUAUAGCUUCAGGAGGGGAAAACUUUGUUGUCUCCGCCUGCACUGAAGGGACAAACCUAAAAGAUUUCGUAUUGCAGUUUAAAGGAUUUGUGGAUUCCUGCCCUGAGCUGAAGACCAAAAUAAAAAAGACUGCAAAGAAAUGACGAACUCCUCCCACUGAAGUGGUGAUGUAGAACAUAAGAACAAAAUGACAAUACAAGUCUUUCAUAGCUGUGCACUGGAGAGAGGUAAGUUUGCUUGUUAUGAGCUGCUGCCGUGCUGGACCAACAUGGCUGCUAGGAGCUAAUUUUCAAAAGUAUAGACCCAUUUCUCGACUUGUUCUAUUCAAAUUCAUAAAAUGAAGUGGAAGACAUAAGCAUAAUAAAUCUCUUGAGUGUGGGUAAAGCUUGCCUGUCAAACACACAUGCAUAAAAAAUGAUUGUCAUAACUGUCAUGAGCAAAAACAUUUGAUCUUAGUACACAUAUACACAUGUAACGUACUCAUUCAUAUGAAGAAGUUACACCAUAAGUUCCGUGAAGUUACAUGGUAAAUGUUGGGAAGUUACACUU